rnacentral:rRNA from 1 species
UCCUACGGGGGGCAGCAGUGAGGAAUAUUGGUCAAUGGUCGGGAGCCUGAACCAGCCAAGCCGCGUGAGGGAGGAAGGUACAGAGUAUUGUAAACCUCUUUUGUCAGGGAACAAAAACUGGGACGUGUCCCCGGAUGAGUGUACCCGAAGAAAAAGCAUCGGCUAACUCCGUGCCAGCAGCCGCGGUAAUACGGAGGAUGCGAGCGUUAUCCGGAUUUAUUGGGUUUAAAGGGUGCGUAGGCGGUCUGUUAAGUCAGCGGUCAAAGUCCGGGGCUCAACCCCGGCCAGCCGUUGAAACUGGCAGG